rnacentral:rRNA from 1 species
CCCUUAGAUGUUCUGGGCCGCACGCGCGCUACACUGACGGAGCCAACGAGUACUUUCCUUGUCCGGAAGGACUGGGUAAUCUUGUGAAACUUCGUCGUGCUGGGGAUAGAGCAUUGCAAUUAUUGCUCUUCAACGAGGAAUUCCUAGUAAGCGUGAGUCAUCAGCUCGCGUUGAUUACGUCCCUGCCCUUUGUACACACCGCCCGUCGCUCCUACCGAUUUCGAGUGGUCCGGUGAAUCUUUUGGAAUUAGAGUGCAAACUCAAACUAAGAUCGAUAAACCUUAUCACUUAGAGGAAGGAGAAGUCGUAACA